rnacentral:rRNA from 1 species
CUCGUAGGCGGCCCUCUAAGUCAGACGUGAAAUCCCUCGGCUUAACCGGGGAACUGCGUCUGAUACUGGAGGGCUCGAGUGUGGGAGAGGGAUGCGGAAUUCCAGGUGUAGCGGUGAAAUGCGUAGAUAUCUGGAGGAACACCGGUGGCGAAGGCGGCAUCCUGGACUACUACUGACGCUGAGGAGCGAAAGCCAGGGGAGCAAACG